UAUAGCCCCAUGUUCUUUAUACUUGUAAAUUCACACCUGAAAUUAACCUCUUUGUAAGUUAAGAAGUACCCUGAGAUUAAGUUAAAAGAAUUUUACACUCACUUAAGUGUAUUUUAUUUACUCUCUGACGCUGUAAUACAUAACUCAAUCUCAGCUCUCCCUCCGACUUCUCCCAACCCCCAGAUGCAUGUCCUACUUCCAUGUCCUGUCCUGUGAACCUACUGAGUUCAAUUGGUGUUGCUUGUUGGAAUGUUGACAAAGUGAUCCUUCCCAAAGGCAGCAACAGCUAUUCAAUUUUCAGUGUACCAUGGCCUUCCUUAGGACAUGCCCAUUUGAUUAGUUAGAACAUAGAGCACAAGGAUCCCCAAUGGAGGAGCUAGAGAAAGGACCCAAGGAGCUGAAGCGGUUUGCAGCCCCAUAGGAGGACCAACAAUGUCAACCAACCAGUACCCCUAGAGCUCCCAGGGACUAAACCACCAAUCAAAGAGUACACAUGGAUGGAUCCAUGGUGGCAGAGGAUGGCCUUGUCGGACAUCAAUGGGAGAGAGGCCCUUGGUCCUGUGAAGGCUUGAUGCCCCAGUGUAGGGGAAUGCCAGGACAGGGAAGCAGGAGAGGGUGGGUUAGUGAGCAGGGGGAAAGGGGGUGGGAUAGGAGGUUUUCACAGGGGAAACGAGGAAAGGGGACAACAUUUGAAAUCUAAAUAAAGAGCAUAUCUAAUAAAAAAAAGAACAUAGAACACUGUAAAGGGGUGGUUCUCAACUUUUCUAAAGCUGCAACACUUUAAUACAGUCCCUGGGGUAUCUGAUAUGGACCCUUGUGAAAAGGUCAUUUGACCCCAAAGGAUCAUGACCCACAGGUUGAAAACCACCUCUGUAAAGGACAACCUAACCUUUUUUGAUUUAUUCCUUUUUGUCAGAGAUAGGAUACCUCAGAGGCCAGAGAUAUGAUCCUCUUGCUUCACUUGCUGAAUGCUUUUGAACUGGGAAUCCACCAUUACUCCAUUGCUUUCUCAAUGGAACUGUCUGUACGUUUUCAAGAACUCAUGGGAAUUUUUGCUGAAAUGCAAAAAUUUAUUAAUUUGCCAGGGUUCUAGAAAACCAUUUUGUGAGAUUACACCAUCUUCCUCCUUCAACCCUGCUUAAGAAAAAGUAAUCGUAUGAACUUGUGGAUACACAUCAGAUAGUUUAACAAACUGUCUUGGACCCAUCACCCACUUAAUGAUUGUUAACACCCUACCACUCUUUUUUUCCCUUCACCCCUACCUUCAGGGGAUUUUGAGCAAGUUCUUUAGGCAUUUAAUCUUUGUGUGUGUGUGGUGCUGGAAGUUGAAUCUGGGUUCUCAUUCAUACUGGGCAAGUAUUCUGCCACUGAGCCAUUCCCCCAACUAUCUAUCUAUCUAUCUAUCUAUCUAUCUAUCUAUCUAUCUAUCUAUCUAACUUGUUUAUCCAGGCAAGGUCUCACCUUGUGCCUUGCCAUGGAAAUACAUCAGCAUGUGUUGUAGUGUUGCUAAUCAAGUUGUGAAUGAGGGACUUCUGUAAGAACCAUGUAACCCCGACUGCCAUGAUGGAGACUCUUCUACAUCUUUGGAAGCAGGAUAAUCUGUUCAGAUACGAAGAACAUUCAAUCAAGUGUUAGGAAAUAAUUAUUCACAAGACUGAGGAGACGGCUCAGUGGAUAAGUGCCUUUCCUCUGAAAAGAAGAGGGCCUGAGUUCAAACUCCCACAUAAAAGCCUGUCAUGGCCACCUGUGAUGGCUUGUAUAUGGUUUGCCCAGUGAAUGGCACCAUUGGGAGGUGUGGCCCUGUUGGAGUAGGUGUGGCCUUGUUGGAGUAGACGUGUCGUUGUGGGCGUGGACUUUAAGACCUUCAUCCUAGCUCCCAGGAAGUCAGUUUUCUCCUAGCAGCCUUUAGGUGAAGAUGUAGAACUCUCAGCUCUACCUGUAUCAUACCUGCCUGGACAUUUCCAUGUUGCCUCUUUGAUCCUAAUGGACAGAAUCUCUGAACCUGUAAGGCAGCCCCUAUUAAAUGUUGUCCUUGCCAGGCGUGGUGGCGCACACCUUUAAUCCCAGCAUUCGGGAGGCAGAGGCAGGCGGAUUUCUGAGUUCGAGGCCAGCCUGGUCUACAGAGUGACAGCCAGGGCUAUACAGAGAAACCCUGUCUCGAAAAA
rnacentral:lncRNA from 1 species